rnacentral:pre_miRNA from 1 species
AAAGUACUCCCUCCGUUCGGAAUUACUUGUCUCGGAAAUGGAUGUAUCUAGAAUUAAAAUAUGUCUAGAUACAUCCAUUUCCGCGACAAGUAAUUCCGAACGAAGGGAGUAUUUA